rnacentral:rRNA from 1 species
CCUACGGGAGGCAGCAGUAGGGAAUUUUCGUCAAUGGGCGCAAGCCUGAACGAGCGAUGCCGCGUGAGUGAAGAAGGCCUUCGGGUCGUAAAGCUCUGUUGCGGGGGAAAAAAGGCAGCAUCAGGAAAUGGGUGCUGACUGAUGGUGCCCCGCCAGAAAGUCACGGCUAACUACGUGCCAGCAGCCGCGGUAAUACGUAGGUGGCGAGCGGUAUCCGGAAGGAUUGGGCGUAAAGGGUGCGCAGGCGGUCCUGCAAGUCUGGAGUGAAACGCAUGAGCUCAACUCAUGCAUGGCUUUGGAAACUGGAGGACUGGAGAGCAGGAGGGGGCGGUGGAACUCCAUGUGUAGCGGUAAAAUGCGUAGAUAUAUGGAAGAACACCAGUGGCGAAGGCGGCCGCCUGGCCUGUUGCUGACGCUGAGGCACGAAAGCGUGGGGAGCAAAUAGGAUUAGAUACCCCAGUAGUC